rnacentral:rRNA from 1 species
UUACGAUCACAUCACGUUCAAACACCGGUUCCCGUGCGAUCACCGAAGUUAAGCAACGUCGAGUCUAGUCAGUACCUAGAUGGGUGACCGCUUGGGAAUAACAGGUGCU